rnacentral:lncRNA from 1 species
AGCUAGUGCAAAAGGUAGGUAGCUAAUGCAACUAGGGCGCUAGGCCCUUACCGCGAUCCUCGCCGUGUGAACUCGCGCUCGGCCCUGCAGUAAAAUGGGGGUGAGAACUAACUUCCUUAGUUCCCAGUGGGUUCGGCCGCCGACUCCGCCGGUCUCCCCACUAGAUCCAAGUGGGCACAAGUAGAUAACCGGAUAGAUAAAUAGGUAAUAAGCAAAGC